rnacentral:rRNA from 2 species
GUGAACCUGCGGUAGGAUCAUUG